UGCUGGUUAUGAUUAUCAUUGAUAAUCCCAGAUCUAUGACAUUUUCAAGCGGAGGGUCUAGGAGUAGAUGUUUUCAAUUUCAUCCUGAACCUAAUA
rnacentral:snoRNA from 1 species